rnacentral:lncRNA from 1 species
CUGGUGCCUACCACUCUUGCAGACCUGGGCCUUCCGGGAUGUUCCCGGGUUUAGCACCAAAAGCCCCACCGCGUUCCAGGAACUCCUCAGUCCUGGGCAAACCGGGAUGGCUGGUACCCUGGGGCAUUGCAGGGGGCAGGGCACCUCGCUUCUGAGCCGCCCUCUCCUGCUCUGGGCCCUGCAGCUCCAGCGUGCGGCUGGCGAGGUGACAGUCAGUUCGGCAGCUGAGAGUAGGGGGUGGGUGGGGGAGGCUCAGAGAGGCCAAUCUCUAGCCUGAAGUCACACGGCAUGGGUGGCAGAACUGGGGCACGAACCCAAGGCUGUGACUGCAGAGCCUGCUUGCAGGAGAAAGGCCCCCACGGAGGAACCGAGGAAGGAAGGAAGACCACUUCCUGUCUUAGACGCAAAGGCACGGACCUCUGGACUCUCCCAGAGGGCCGCCUGUCUCCACGGCUGCCCCCUCUACGACGUGUGUACAAGGCAAGGUGUUUCAGGGAAUCAGUACCAGUCCAGGAAGGAAGGCAUGGCGCUGUGACUCUCCCAUUGCGCAGCUAUCCCCGGAGCCUGAAUCCCAAUCCUAAGCGGAAACCUGAAGCAACAGACAAACCCUGGCCAUGACAGACAAGGAGGCACCCACCAAGCGCUCAUGUUCAGAGCAAAAACUAGGCGACUUCCAGCCAGCGUGGCCAGUGCUCAGAGAGGACCAUUCUUCAGCCUUUGGAAACGACAGCUACAGAGCCUGGAGGCAACGUGCAAACCCUUUAUGGUAGAAACAAGGGGUGUUUCCCUUGUGGGUCAGUGGUAAAGAGUCUGCCUGCCAGUGCAGGAGACACGGGGCCAAAUGCUGGCCUGGGAAGAUUCCACGUUACUCGGAGCAACUGAGCCUGUACACCACUGCUGAGCCUGCGCUCUAGAGCCCAUGAGCUGCAAAUGCUAAAGCCUGUGUGCCUAGGGCCCGUGCUCUGCAACGAGAGAAGACACUGCAAUGAGAAGCCCGCGCACCGCAACUGGAGAGUAGCCGCCGCUCGCCACAGCUAGAGAAAAGUCUGCACGGCAGACCCAGCGCAGCCAAGUUAAAGAAAGAAAAUCUAAAAAAAUAAUUGUUUUUUAAAAAAUCGUGGGCCUGUGGGCAGAUGCUGGAAAGGAAUCGGGGGGAGAAAAAAAAAAAGCUAGAAUGUUUGUCAGGUCCAUGGAGUUGUAGAUGGAUUUUUUUCUUUUUUGGCUUCCUCAUGAUGCAUGUGGGAUCUUAGUUCCCUGACCAGGGAUCAAGCCUGUGCCCCAUUGCAUUGAGAGCGCAGAGUCCUAACCGCUCGAUUGCCAGGGAAUCCUGUAGAUGGAUUUUUAGAGUCCAAAUUUUCAUUAUCUUUGUACAAUCAAUAAUAAAUUAUCAUCAGUUCAGUUCA